GUAGUUAACUUAUUGAAGUUGUACUUGUUAGUAAAAACUAAUUAGAAUGGAGUUUUGAAUAGAGUUAGAGACGCGUACAAAUCGCCCGGCGCCCUUAUAUUAAAAUUAAGGUAAGUCGUAACACAGUAAUGCUAGUAGAAACUGGUGUUAAG
rnacentral:rRNA from 1 species